AUGCAACAGACCAUGGCAACGAGGGCAAGAUACCUCCUUCCACCCACCGUCCACAUCGGAACCUCCAUCGUCGGCCGUGGCGGGUUGUCUAGGGUUUGGCUGCCCAUCCCGAACAUGGAGGAUGUGUGCAUCCAAGAUCUCGGCCGAUGGGCGCUGGCACAAUACGCGGGCCUGACGGGGCACACUGGGCUGCGGUUUUGCCGAGUGACCGGGGGAGAACAACAAGUAAUUUCUGGGGUGAAAUACCGCCUCGUCGUGGACGCGGCGAAUAACUACGGCAAGACCAUGCAUUUUCUCGCGGUGGUAUGCGAGAAGCCCUGGACCAAUACUCGCCGGCUCACCUCCUUCGGGCUGGCGGCCUGCACCUAG
rnacentral:rRNA from 1 species